rnacentral:rRNA from 1 species
GGAUCAGUUGGUCGGUCGUGCCUUGGUACGUACUGGCUAAAUCGAUUCCUCCCUUCUGACGAACCGCGAUGUCAUUAAUUUGGUGUCACGGGGAAUCAGGACUGUUACUUUGAAAAAUUAGAGUGUUUAAAGCAGGCUCGCGCUUGAAUACAUUAGCAUGGAAUAAUGAAAUAGGACGUUUGAUUCUAUUUUGUUGGUUUCUAGGAUCGACGUAAUGAUUAAUAGGGAUAGUUGGG